CUGGCUCAGGAUGAACGCUAGCUACAGGCUUAACACAUGCAAGUCGAGGGGCAUCAGGAAGAAAGCUUGCUUUCUUUGCUGGCGACCGGCGCACGGGUGAGUAACACGUAUCCAACCUGCCCUUUACUCGGGGAUAGCCUUUCGAAAGAAAGAUUAAUACCCGAURGCAUAAUGAUUCCGCAUGGUUUCAUUAUUAAAGGAUUCCGGUAAAGGAUGGGGAUGCGUUCCAUUAGGUUGUUGGUGAGGUAACGGCUCACCAAGCCUUCGAUGGAUAGGGGUUCUGAGAGGAAGGUCCCCCACAUUGGAACUGAGACACGGUCCAAACUCCUACGGGAGGCAGCAGUGAGGAAUAUUGGUCAAUGGGCGCUAGCCUGAACCAGCCAAGUAGCGUGAAGGAUGAAGGCUCUAUGGGUCGUAAACUUCUUUUAUAUAAGAAUAAAGUGCAGUAUGUAUACUGUUUUGUAUGUAUUAUAUGAAUAAGGAUCGGCUAACUCCGUGCCAGCAGCCGCGGUAAUACSGAGGAUCCGAGCGUUAUCCGGAUUUAUUGGGUUUAAAGGGAGCGUAGGUGGACUGGUAAGUCAGUUGUGAAAGUUUGCGGCUCAACCGUAAAAUUGCAGUUGAUACUGUCAGUCUUGAGUACAGUAGAGGUGGGCGGAAUUCGUGGUGUAGCGGUGAAAUGCUUAGAUAUCACGAAGAACUCCGAUUGCGAAGGCAGCUCACUGGACUGCAACUGACACUGAUGCUCGAAAGUGUGGGUAUCAAACAGGAUUAGAUACCCUGGUAGUCCACACAGUAAACGAUGAAUACUCGCUGUUUGCGAUAUACAGUAAGCGGCCAAGCGAAAGCAUUAAGUAUUCCACCUGGGGAGUACGCCGGCAACGGUGAAACUCAAAGGAAUUGACGGGGGCCCGCACAAGCGGAAGGAACAUGUGGUUUAAUUCGAUGAUACGCGAGGAACCUUACCCGGGCUUAAAUUGCAGUGGAAUGAUGUGGAAACAUGUCAGUGAGCAAUCACCGCUGUGAAGGUGCUGCAUGGUUGUCGUCAGCUCGUGCCGUGAGGUGUCGGCUUAAGUGCCAUAACGAGCGCAACCCUUAUCUUUAGUUACUAACAGGUUAUGCUGAGGACUCUAGAGAGACUGCCGUCGUAAGAUGUGAGGAAGGUGGGGAUGACGUCAAAUCAGCACGGCCCUUACGUCCGGGGCUACACACGUGUUACAAUGGGGGGUACAGAAGGCAGCUAGCGGGUGACCGUAUGCUAAUCCCAAAAKCCUCUCUCAGUUCGGAUCGAAGUCUGCAACCCGACUUCGUGAAGCUGGAUUCGCUAGUAAUCGCGCAUCAGCCACGGCGCGGUGAAUACGUUCCCGGGCCUUGUACACACCGCCCGUCAAGCCAUGGGAGCCGGGGGUACCUGAAGUACGUAACCGCAAGGA
rnacentral:rRNA from 1 species